UCUUAAGAUGAAUGCACUAAGUCGCUCUGGAUAAGAGCGUCUGCUAAAUGACUAAAA
rfam:Salmo salar isolate Sally breed double haploid chromosome ssa03, whole genome shotgun sequence.